rnacentral:rRNA from 1 species
CAGUAGCCGCGGUAAAACGGAGGGAGCUAGCGUUGUUCGGAAUUACUGGGCGUAAAGCGCACGUAGGCGGCUUUGUAAGUUAGAGGUGAAAGCCUGGAGCUCAACUCCAGAAUUGCCUUUAAGACUGCAUCGCUUGAAUCCGGGAGAGGUGAGUGGAAUUCCGAGUGUAGAGGUGAAAUUCGUAGAUAUUCGGAAGAACACCUGUGGCGAAGGCGGCUCACUGGACCGGCAUUGACGCUGAGGUGCGAAAGCGUGGGGAGCAAACAGGAUUAGAUACCCCCGUAGUCCCUGUCUCUUAUAC